CUUGUUGAAUGUUGGUUUUGCCAGUCGAUAAAUAUAAAUCUAGCCUCCUAACAAUCCCUAACUUUAAAUUCUCUGUUAUUCAUAAUACUUUUGCCAAAGAGUUGCCUGCGGAGAGGCUAAUAAAUAUCCUCUUUCUUGAAAAAUCGCCACAAUUUUCCCCACGACGGUUUUUUUUACUACGAGUACGAUAUGGGCUUUUACAAUAAAGCGUCUUUUUUUUCUACGUCGCUUAUCUCUCAGCCUGGGAGACUUAAUCUUAUGAAUCGUAAGCGCAAUGCCUUUUGUCUUAAUUCGUAAGAGCGAGAUUUCCUCAAAAUCUAUGUUUUCGCUGCAUGUAAUUAGUGUCCAUGGUCAAACAGUGUUAAUUAUUGUGGUGAAAAAUAAUCAAUCGUGCUGUGUUAUAAUUAUGGUGCCGCCGUUUCUAUUAUAGCACAUCAUUAUACUGAGACGUGCGUAUUGUCGCACUAAAACUCCCAAAAUGGACAUUUCUGUUGUUAUCAGACAGCAUUACCCACGUUGUGUCAACAGAAGUGUUGACAGGUUAUUAUAUCAGCCAGCUACUGCGCGUGCGCUAGCAGGUACAGUAAGAACAAAAAUGCAAAAGCGUAUAUGAUGAACAUUUACGGCCAUUUACCAUUUGGUCACGUUUAAAAUGAAAGCAAAUAUUUGGUGACUGUGAAAAUACCAUGUUUCCUGAUGUUUUUUGAAAGAUCGACUUCCUAGUUUAAAUUUUUUGACUCUCUUGAAACAUGCCAAUAUAAUAUUAGUACCGGUGGAACAUUGUUAAAUAUAUUGUCUGUAGGGUGUAAUCUAUCACUCUUGAGCCGUGGUUUGAUAGCACUGUGGCAACAACGAAAGUUUAUGACAAUAGCUGUAUUUAAUAAAAAGCCGUGGGGCUUUUUUAUAUCACAAUGUUAUUAUAGUGUUUACCCUGUUAGCAACAGAACAAUUGGGUUUUCUUUCCCCAUAUCAAAAUUGAAAUUAAAAUAUAUUUGUCGGUUUCGAAAUUUCAAUAUU